UCUUUUACCACAGAUUCCACAACCAACUUACAUUCUACUAAAAUACCUUAUUCAUGUGUAACUAAAGAUUAAAAAGUUCUUUUAUGAAUUACUUGGACACUUAACAGUUUAUCUGUUUGCAUAACCCCUCAUGUUCUAUGGGAUCCUACUUCCAGUAACUCAUUAUUUGGGAGUGACCUCUCUAAAAAGAUUUUUGUUGUAGAAAAUCGAACUGAAAACUGUCUCAAGAUAUUUGGGGAUGAUGACAAUAUAUUUUAUAAAGUUACUCAAAAAAAGGUCUGAUGACAUAAAGAUGCCUUCAGGUUCACUAAAAACUGUUCAUAAAUCUUGUGCUAUGAAAGAAGCCAUAGGUAACCACAGUGAGAAAACUUUCUCUAAUGAUAAUGCUGAAGAAUUAAAGAUUACAUCUGCUGCCCCUCAGAAGAAAGGUCCUACAGACAGACUGACUCCUUUUAACUUCAAAGAAAGAAGAGUCAUUGCUUCUUCCUCCUCCAUGAAGGCAGGUAACAAUCACAGGAGUUCCUGUAUAAACUGAUGACAUGAUUGUUCACGACUGGGAAGGUUUUAUUGUAGAUAAAGAGAAACAACAGCCAGAAUCAUCUGGAAGUGUCUAGAACAGAAAAAGAAAAGUAAACUGAACAUGGCCAUCAGACAGGACCUGGCCAAGAAAGAAGCAGGUAAAGAAGCAGGUUCACAGAUUACAAGCAAGAGAGAGGAGAGACAAUAGGAUGAGAUUAAGAA
rnacentral:lncRNA from 1 species